CAGGUCUAAAGUAAAAACCUAGGCAGAAUUUUGCUUCAUUCUUCACAAGGAGCUGCGAAGAACACUUCCAGAAACGUUUGACAAGUAGGUCGGCACUCACAGACAUGAUGAACUACCGAAGGGAUUAAUGCUGGGAUUAAACCAUAAAGGAACCUUUCUUAACGAAUCUAGGCAUGUGCGUUCGAUUGAAACCUGUUAUCUAAUGGAAGGGUGGGUAGAAAUACAGCUUAUUUGAUUCGAACACGAAUAACAUCGACACGAUUUAUGCUAAAAAAGACCUCGAAGGGAAUUUCCACGUACAGCUGAGCCAUUACCGAGUUGUGAAUUAACAAAGAGAGAAGCCUUUAUUGUGCUGUGUUCUGUUGUGGAGCACGCAGGAAGCUGCUAGAGUACGAAAGUAGUGUAGGGAGAAACACGAGACGUUUAUUAAAGAAGAAGUUAAAUUCCCCACCCAUAGUACUUUCAAUUUUCGAAACAAGUUUUAUUUCGAAAGCGAAAAUAGCGUCGUUAGCAUAAUCGUCAGCACAUUCGUUAUGCAUAAUUGACAAACCAAUCAGAAUCCUUGUACGAAUGGUUUAAGUGAUAUAAUUGGUUGAACAAGACUAAACCUUUCAAAAAUGUCAAAGCCUCAAAACUCACAACCUGCAAUAGUUCACAAACUGAAAUUGUUUCGACAGGGCACUUACGCCUGUAGUUCUAUAGUCUCAAGACGGAAUCGGAAAGUGAAAGGUUUAGUGAAAUCCGGCAGAAUUGUGGCUCAUAAAAACACGUAUUUUUUUUCACAUGAUGAUUCACAAAGAUAAUGUAGGGGUGGGCAAAAAUACAGCUUAUUUGCCAUAACACGAACACUGGAGACAUUAUUUGUCGAACAAUAUGUAAGACGGCCAAAACGGUCGACGUAAGAACAAAAGAUCCGAGGGAAGAUUUACAAGUUUAUUACACCGCAAAUAAAUGCAACGGUACAAUAAAAAAACGGGAACGAGUGACACUAAACAAUAAAUAAGAAAACAAAGUUUCAAUGAGCCAAAUGAUGUAGCAA